rnacentral:rRNA from 2 species
UAGGGAAUCUUCCGCAAUGGACGAAAGUCUGACGGAGCAACGCCGCGUGAGCGAAGAAGGCCUUCGGGUCGUAAAGCUCUGUUGUUAGGGAAGAACAAGUAACGCAGUAACUGGCGUUACCGUGACGGUACCUAACGAGAAAGCCACGGCUAACUACGUGCCAGCAGCCGCGGUAAUACGUAGGUGGCAAGCGUUGUCCGGAAUUAUUGGGCGUAAAGCGCGCGCAGGCGGUUCCUUAAGUCUGAUGUGAAAGCCCACGGCUCAACCGUGGAGGGUCAUUGGAAACUGGGGGACUUGAGUGCAGAAGAGGAGAGCGGAAUUCCACGUGUAGCGGUGAAAUGCGUAGAGAUGUGGAGGAACACCAGUGGCGAAGGCGGCUCUCUGGUCUGUAACUGACGCUGAGGCGCGAAAGCGUGGGGAGCAAACAGG